UGCUCUGUAAAGAGGUUUACAGAUGGAUGUAUUUUUUACAGGAUUGUUCUGGCAACUCAGCUGCCAGUUUUUCCCCGUAAAAACGAUGGCAGUUUUUUUACAGUGUAGGCUUUCCAUCACAUCGCUUUCCUGUUUUCUACAUUGAUACUGUUUGUCUUUAUUUAUAGAUUUCCUGAAGUGUUACACCUGUGCUGGGGGACAAUGCACUGAACCAUUGACCUGCCCUCCAGGGUCUGAUCGCUGUAUGAAAAUGAACACUCCUGCGGGAACCGUAAAAUCAUGUGGCACUCAAGCUGUAUGCGGUCUUGCAAAAGUAAACUGCUGUGAUAAGGAUCUGUGUAACGGCGCUGGGACCAUUGGGAAGAACCUCCUGCUCCUGCUGGUGCCGGUGGCCUCCAUCUUUGUGCUCUCCUGAGCUGAGAGCUCCAUCCUCCUCCUCUUCCUCCUCCUCCUCCUCCUCCUCUGGCCCCAGUUCAGUGCUGUAAUCAUUCCUGUAUUCACUUUCUCAGCAGGGCUCUCCUGAGCACAUUUGUCUAACCUGAUUGUUUACAUUGGGUUUCAAUCAAUCCUUGCAUUGCAGAGAUAUAUAUAUAUAUAAUUACUAAAACAUUAAACUAAUGUUUGUUUAAUCACUGAUCACUGUGAUUUGUCUAUUUGUGAUUAACUUACUCUUUUUGGAAAACGCAUAUUCAAUAAAAACAGACAUUUGUUUGGAAGCAUAA